GUGUAUGCUGCGCUUGCAGCUUCGCCCUGCUCCCUGCUCUCCAUCACUGUCCAUUGAUGUUUUUUCCUCUCUUCCCUUCCCUCUCUCUUCCUCCCUCUCUCUUCCUCCCUCUCUCCUCCUCCCUCUCUCCCCCCUCUCCCUCUGUUCAGCCUCAGAAAAGAGCCGCAUGCCUCCACACUUUUGGACAAGACUGAUGGCUCGUCAAUAGCAUUAGCCAGCAAUGCAGGCCUGGCUGGUGUAGAACAGAAUCGAUACGGCCCCAGAUGGACUUUUCCUGGUCGGCGGAGUUUUAGACCUGAUCUGAUGAAGCUGGUAGCUUCAGGGACCGAUAAAGCGCUGGCACAUAAAAGCUUUUCUGCUUCUCUUCAUUCUGGUUGUUCUCAUUGAGAUAACAUCUCCUUUACUAAGCACUAGUCAACCUCAGGGCCAGAAGAGGCCAGACUGAAGAGGAGCCAUUGGACUUUGACUGGAAUAAUAGUAGUUUGUUUGAAAUGUAAGUGUCCUCCGUUAUGCUUGUUUAUUUUGCCGACAGUGUGAUUUGUGCGUAAUUUCCACCUGCGAUUGUAGAAUCGUCAUUAAAGCAUGUUUUGAUAAAGUGCAA
rnacentral:lncRNA from 1 species